rnacentral:lncRNA from 1 species
GUUCUCUCGGCCUCUCGGUUCUGGGCGGCCAGUUAGACCCCUGCCUUCUCCGCUGCGGUGGGGAGAGGUACUUGCACUUCUCUCAGUUCCAAGGCAGAAAGGACCUGGGUCACCAUGGGAUAGUCAGUGGAGCCUCAGUUUUCCAUCCGAUUUGUGGAAGAGCAUGGCCUUCGGAGACAGCCUGGACCAAGCUGAGGAAAUACUCAGGUUGGACCAGCCCCUGCUGGUUGCCGGUUGUCACCCAUCCCUGCCUACAGCCUCACUUCCAGCUCUGUCGAGCCCCACUUCUCACCCCCUCUCCCAGGUCUGUCGGUCCCUUUGGGUAGGUAGGUAGGUAGGGCUCGGUCUCCCUCCCUCUGGGAUCGUCCAGCUUGCCCCCUGCACUGCUCGUUGCUCCCCUGUCCCAGUCAGGUCUUUCUCGGGGCGGGGUGUGUGGGGGCGUGGAGAGCAAGGAGUCAGAUCGCCAACAGACUGUGGGAGGAGGGCAAGGACCCGCUCCCUUCGUCGCUUCGAGGAGGGCCGAGCGGACCCAAAGACUUGAGGGCUCAGGGUCUGGGGGCCCGAGGGUCCUGCCGAGGGGGCGGUGGUUGGGUCUGGCCCGCCGACCGGCCAGGGUUAGAGGACAGCUGGGGCCCGGCAGAGCUGGAGGUGGGAGGGGGGCGGAACCUCGCAGUGCUCCCCUCCCCCACUUUCUUAAAGGGCCGGGGGCGGGGCCUUGCGGGACGGGGCUGGCUGCGCCCUCCCCGGCAGGGUCAGGGGGCACCGUCAGACCCUUGGUGCUGAGGCGCGGCGGGCCGGCCAGCCAGAGUGGCCGCUGUCGCCUC